UACGUAGGGUCCAAGCGUUAUCCGGAAUCACUGGGCGUAAAGCGUGCGUAGGCGGCGUGUUAAGUGUGAUGUUAAAUCGUGGGGCUCAACCCUGUCGAUGCAUCACAUACUGGCAUGCUAGAGGAAGGCAGAGGCAAGUGGAAUUGGUAGUGUAGCAGUGAAAUGCGUAGAUAUUACCAGGAACACCAAUGGCGAAGGCAGCUUGCUGGGCCUUUUCUGACGCUGAGGUACGAAAGCGUGGGGAGCGAACAGG
rnacentral:rRNA from 1 species